GAUGAAGAACGUAGCGAAAUGCGAUAAGUAAUGUGAAUUGCAGAAUUCAGUGAAUCAUCGAAUCUUUGAACGCACAUUGCGCCCGCCAGUAUUCUGGCGGGCAUGCCUGUUCGAGCGUCAUUACAACCCUCAGGCCCCCGGGCCUGGCGUUGGGGAUCGGCGGAAGCCCCCUGCGGGCACAACGCCGUCCCCCAAAUACAGUGGCGGUCCCGCCGCAGCUUCCAUUGCGUAGUAGCUAACACCUCGCAACUGGAGAGCGGCACGGCCACGCCGUAAAACACCCAACUUCUGAAUGUUGACCUCGAAUCAGGUAGGAAUACCCGCUGAACUUAAGCAUAUCAAUAAGCGGAGGA
rnacentral:misc_RNA from 1 species